rnacentral:lncRNA from 1 species
ACAGAAGGGUUCUUUUGGAGGUGCUGGCCUCAAGAAGAGUGGAAAGAAAUGAGAGGGGUUUUCGGUACCCAAAGUUGGGAUGUGAUAUAAUAUUAUCUGUGUUGAAGUCUUUCAAUUUAUGGGAUGGUCUAAUUUCUAGCUGAAUGUGCUCCUAACGCUCAUAUGAGUGUCAGUGUAACAUUAAGACUAAAUAAACUGAAGUGUCCUUCUUAAUUAUCUUGUUAUGUAUGGAGCAAGUUCCCCCUAUGAGCAAAUGAGAAUGAUAAAUGUGCUACUUCGUUCUUUGGAGUUCCUCUUGUGAGCAAAUGAGAAUGAUAAAUGUGCUGCCUUGUAUGUGCUACAAUGAUUGAAUCACUGUGGUUUACAACUUUGCAGGAAUCAAUCUUCACAUCUGUGUUCGAUGAAGGUUUUGGAACAUUAAAAUCAACUUCAAGCUCGUGUAGCCCUUUAUUACAUUUAAGCCGGUACAAGAACAAAGACAUCUGUGCUUGAGCUUUACCUUUCUCUUCCCACUUUAAUCUUUCUCGACCUUCUCAUUCAUUGUAUGCCAAGAUUCUGCAAUCUUUCUAAGUUGCACGUGAACGCUUAUUCUACGUUGUGUCAUUCUACUCCAAUGAAUCUUCCAGUGCUGAUGAAAGUGUUGGAAGUAAAUGAUAUAUAUUCUCAUUGAUCUGCUGCGCUAGUGAACUGUGAAAUUCAAUUUGGCAGUCAGACUACUAUAAUUCUCCACUUAAAUUUGUUAUAGCUUUCUCAGUUAUGUG